rnacentral:pre_miRNA from 1 species
ACGGAGGAAGAGCUGCUGUGUCACUUCCUCAGGCAGACAUAUUUACUAGAGGGUGCAAUCCACAACCUUCUGGUAAGAGAGGCUGCAGAAGGGAGGGGUUCACCUGACUUCAGGAACUGUGUG